AUUGAACGCUGGCGGCGUGCUUAACACAUGCAAGUCGAACGGUAAGGCCUUCGGGUACACGAGUGGCGAACGGGUGAGUAACACGUGGGUGAUCUGCCCUGCACUUCGGGAUAAGCCUGGGAAACUGGGUCUAAUACCGGAUAGGACCAUGGACUUCACGGUUUGUGGUGGAAAGCUUUUGCGGUGUGGGAUGGGCCCGCGGCCUAUCAGCUUGUUGGUGGGGUAAUGGCCUACCAAGGCGACGACGGGUAGCCGGCCUGAGAGGGUGUCCGGCCACACUGGGACGGAGAUACGGCCCAGACUCCUACGGGAGGCAGGAGUGGGGAAUAUUGCACAAUGGGCGCAAGCCUGAUGCAGCGACGCCGCGUGGGGGAUGACGGCCUUCGGGUUGUAAACCUCUUUCAGUAGGGACGAAGCGCAAGUGACGGUACCUACAGAAGAAGCACCGGCCAACUACGUGCCAGCAGCCGCCGUAA
rnacentral:rRNA from 1 species